rnacentral:tRNA from 2 species
GGAGGUGUCUGGGCACCUGGUGGUCCCCUCGGUCUUCAAAACCGGUGAGACCGAGCAUCUCGGUCUGGCGGGUUCGAUUCCCGUCCACCUCCGCCA